rnacentral:rRNA from 1 species
AGCGAACGCUGGCGGCAGGCCUAACACAUGCAAGUCGAACGAAGUCUUCGGACUUAGUGGCGGACGGGUGAGUAACACGUGGGAACGUACCUUUUGGUUCGGAACAACUCAGGGAAACUUGAGCUAAUACCGGAUGAGCCCUUAGGGGGAAAGAUUUAUCGCCGAAAGAGCGGCCCGCGUUAGAUUAGCUAGUUGGUGAGGUAAAGGCUCACCAAGGCUACGAUCUAUAGCUGGUCUGAGAGGAUGAUCAGCCACACUGGGAUUGAGACACGGCCCAGACUCCUACGGGAGGCAGCAGUGGGGAAUCUUGCGCAAUGGGCUAAAGCCUGACGCAGCCAUGCCGCGUGAAUGAUGAAGGUCUUAGGAUUGUAAAAUUCUUUUACCAGGGACGAUAAUGACGGCACCUGGAGAAAAAGCCCCGGCUAACUUCGUGCCAGCCGCCGCCGUAAAAC